rnacentral:rRNA from 1 species
UACGUAGGCAGCAAGCGUUGUUCGGAAUUACUGGGCGUAAAGAGUGUGUAGGCGGUGCUCUAAGUUUGGUGUGAAAUCUCCCGGCUUAACUGGGAGGGUGCGCCGAAAACUGGAAUGCUUGAACAUGGGAGAGGAAAGCGGAAUUCCUGGUGUAGCGGUGAAAUGCGUAGAUGUCAGGAGGAACACCUGCGGUGUAGACGGCUUUCUGGACCAUUGUUGACGCUGAGACACGAAAGCGUGGGUAGCAAACAGG